CUGACAGUGGAUGCCAGCUCUGAGCUGGGUCUGAUCCCCUUGCUCAGGGGUUUCAUCUGGUAGGGGCUUUGCUCUCUGAUGCCAUCAGACUAUCCACAGGAAUCUGGGGCUCCUUCCAUUUGUACCAGCACAAAUAAGAUUUCUUGAGCAUCUCGCAGAAGUUACAAGCCAUCUUUCAGGUCCAUACACCGACAGAUCACAGACAUCAACAGAAGCACAAUUGUGGAGGUGGAAUGUAAUUUGCAGGCAUCGUCUUCAUGGAUACUCAGAGCUGUCCCAUAAGGUCAUAAUACAGCAAGUGCUGUCCUGCUCAUGAA